CUGAUUUGUAAUAUGAUACGUUACAUUUAUUUCUGCAUUUAAUUAUGAAUUUUGUAUGCAACACACUAAAUCUACCUGAUGAACUAAUUAACUAAUUAAGAAAAAGUUAACAGAUGAAAUUUUAAAAAAAUUUAGUUUUAGUUAAAAGAAGCUGAGCUGUCUCCGCCAGACUUUCGCUUUGUGUGCAUGAAAUUGUCAUCUUCACAGGAAUUAUUUCCAACCCGUUUGAGUGCCACUUCCCCCAAACCAACUGCACCUCGAUUCUUCUCCUCCUAGACACAAAAAUCUUUUCAUUAAUCUAUUAUACCAACCUCUUAAUGAAGUAAAAACAGGGUUAUGUGUUUACUUGAGAAAGUUUGUCAAGCUGUUCCCGGAUUGCAAGUCUGCUAUGGGUUUUGCCCAGUUCCACUAAAAUUGCUCGGAGUGGCUGCUUAUCAUCGUUAUCAUCAUCAUCAUCCUCCCAUUUCGCCAAGGGUUUAAAUCCUGCUGUCUUUUCUCUAGCAAUCCGACCAACAGCUAAAAACAUGAAACAAAUGUACAUAAAUUAUAAUACAUCAGAACAUCGAAAUAGUCAAACCUGACUUUCUCCAUUCACGGUAGAUUAAGGAUCGUUGUGGCAUCUUUGAGUACUGGUCCUUGAGGUCUGACUUUUGGAUAGCAUCAUGAAUCAUUUCCUUCUGCUCUGUACUCAGCUUAUACUGCGAUCGAGUAUACCGGAUUCAAGAAAUGCUGUCGCGCAUAAACUUUAUGCGCCCAAACUUUUAGCUUGAAUCGCAUUUUAUGCUGUUCAUCAGUCUCGCCCUCUUCACGUCCAUCUCUUUCGACAAGGAACAGCUUUCUCGCGCUGCGAUGGUCCCCUUGGCAGAGGCCCUCAGAUUCGAAGUCCCUGCAUAACAAUAAACAAUUCAAAUUCAAUUAUCAUACAACUGGAGUUAAUGAUGUAAAUUACCCAAACUUACACUAUAACACAUUGAGAAUCCUCAUUGUCGCGUGAAUUUGCUGCCCUGAAGGCGUGGUACGACUUGG